UGGGGAAUAUUGGACAAUGGGCGCAAGCCUGAUCCAGCCAUGCCGCGUGAGUGAUGAAGGCCCUAGGGUUGUAAAGCUCUUUCACCGGUGAAGAUAAUGACGGUAACCGGAGAAGAAGCCCCGGCUAACUUCGUGCCAGCAGCCGCGGUAAUACGAAGGGGGCUAGCGUUGUUCGGAUUUACUGGGCGUAAAGCGCACGUAGGCGGACUAUUAAGUCAGGGGUGAAAUCCCGGGGCUCAACCCCGGAACUGCCUUUGAUACUGGUAGUCUUGAGUUCGAGAGAGGUGAGUGGAAUUCCGAGUGUAGAGGUGAAAUUCGUAGAUAUUCGGAGGAACACCAGUGGCGAAGGCGGCUCACUGGUUCGAUACUGACGCUGAGGUGCGAAAGCGUGGGGAGCAAACAGG
rnacentral:rRNA from 1 species